rnacentral:rRNA from 1 species
UACGAAGGGGGCUAGCGUUGUUCGGAAUUACUGGGCGUAAAGCGCGCGCAGGCGGUCUUCCAAGUCAGUGGUGAAAGCCUGGAGCUCAACUCCAGAACUGCCAUUGAAACUGUUAGACUUGAGUACGAGAGAGGUGAGUGGAAUUCCCAGUGUAGAGGUGAAAUUCGUAGAUAUUGGGAAGAACACCGGUGGCGAAGGCGGCUCACUGGCUCGUAACUGACGCUGAGGCGCGAAAGCGUGGGGAGCAAACAGG